AACGCACCUUGCGCUCCUUGGUAUUCCGAGGAGCAUGCCUGUUUGAGUGUCUUGAAGUCAUCAACUCCCCCUUUGCUUUUCGAAGGGCGGGGCUGGAUUUUGAGGGCCUUUGCUGCCGAAGGGCGGCUCCCUCCAAAUGCUUCGGUUGGGCCUGUGGGUCGAACUCGACUGGGCGUUGUACCAUCCUCGCUCGACUGAGAAGUUCCCCCGUCGCGCCCGACCCUCGACCGUCCCCGCAGGGUGGCGGUCAAAUGCGCAAGCCUUCUGAAAUCUGACCUCAAAUCAGGUAGGACUACCCGCUGAACUUAA
rnacentral:misc_RNA from 1 species